GCUAAAUAAGAGCGUAUGGGGAAUGCCUUGGCUCUCAGAGGCGAUGAAGGACGUGAUAAGCUGCGAUAAGCAAUGGGGAGUUGCACAUGAACUGUGAUCCAUUGAUUUCCGAAUGGGGCAACCUGUAUAUUCCUUAGGGAAGGCGAACGGGGGGAACUGAAACAUCUAAGUACCCCUAGGAAGAGAAAAUAAUAAUGAUUUUGUGAGUAGCGGCGAGCGAAAGUGAAAGAGCCCAAACCAGUAUUGUUUCGGCAAUGCUGGGGUUGUAGGACUACGAUAUGGACUUAUGUUGUAUAGUGGAAUUACCUGGAAAGGUAAGCCAUAGAGAGUGAAAGCCUUGUACACGACAUGCAAUAUAUACCUAGUAGUAUCCUGAGUAGGGCGGGGCACGAGAAACCCUGUCUGAAUCUGCCGGGACCAUCCGGUAAGGCUAAAUACUCCUGAGAGACCGAUAGUGAACUAGUACCGUGAGGGAAAGGUGAAAAGAACCCUGAAUAAGGGAGUGAAAUAGAUCCUGAAACCAUACGCUUACAAGCGGUCGGAGCAGCGUAAGUUGUGACGGCGUGCCUUUUGCAUAAUGAGCCUACGAGUUACCGUUGCUAGCAAGGUUAAGUGAUUAAGUCACGGAUCCGUAGCGAAAGCGAGUCUGAAUAGGGCGUUUUAGUUAGUAGUGGUAGACGCGAAACCGUGUGAUCUACCCAUGGGCAGGGUGAAGCUGUAGUAACAUACAGUGGAGGCCCGAACCGAUAUACGUUGAAAAGUGUUCGGAUGACCUGUGGGUAGGGGUGAAAGGCCAAUCAAACUCGGAAAUAGCUCGUACUCCCCGAAAUGCAUUUAGGUGCAGCGUCGUGGUGAGUUUGAUAGAGGUAGAGCUACUGAUAGGGCUAGGGGGCUUCACCGCCUACCAACCCCUGACAAACUCCGAAUGCUAUCAAAUAUACACGGCAGUGAGGGCAUGGGUGCUAAGGUCCAUGUCCGAAAGGGAAACAACCCAGACCAUCAGCUAAGGUCCCCAAAUAUAUGUUAAGUUGAAUAAACGAGGUUGAACUGCUUUGACAGCUAGGAUGUUGGCUUGGAAGCAGCCAUUCAUUUAAAGAGUGCGUAACAGCUCACUAGUCGAGCGGUU
rnacentral:rRNA from 1 species